rnacentral:rRNA from 1 species
GACAGAGGGUGCAAACGUUGUUCGGAUUUACUGGGCGUAAAGCGUGUGUAGGCGGCUUCGCAAGUUGGAUGUGAAAUCCCACGGCUCAACCGUGGACGUGCAUCCAAAACUGCGUCGCUAGAGUCUCGGAGAGGAAGGUGGAAUGCUUGGUGUAGAGGUGAAAUUCGUAGAUAAUCAAGCAGAACACCUGCGGGCGAAGGCGGCCUUCG